rnacentral:rRNA from 1 species
UAAGGGAUAUUGCACAAUGGGCGCAAGCCUGAUGCAGCAACGCCGCGUGCGCGAUGAAGGCCUUCGGGUCGUAAAGCGCUUUUCUGGCUGAAGAGGAAGGACAGUAAGCCAGGAAUAAGUGUCGGCUAACUACGUGCCAGCAGCCGCGGUAAAACGUAGGACGCAAGCGUUAUCCGGAGUUACUGGGCGUAAAGCGCGGGCAGGCGGUUACUUAAGUCUGAUGUGAAAUCUCUCCGCUCAACGGGGAGCAGCCAUUGGAAACUGGGCAACUGGAGUCUGACAGAGGUAGGCGGAAUUCCGGGUGGAGUGGUGAAAUGCGUAGAGAUCCGGAGGAACACCAGAGGCGAAGGCGGCCUACUGGGUCAGUACUGACGCUGAGCCGCGAAAGCCAGGGGAGCGAACGGG